GGCAUUGUGCCAGAUUAAUGGAUUAUCUUGAUGGGAUAAAAUAAGAAAUGUUAUUUCCAAUGCUU
rnacentral:tRNA from 1 species